AGAGUUUGAUCCUGGCUCAGAAUCAACGCUGGCGGCGCGCUUAACACAUGCAAGUCGCACGAGAAAGCAGGAGCAAUCUUGUGAGUAAAGUGGCGUACGGGUGAGUAACACGUGGAUCAUCUACCUCUUGGUGGGGAAUAACCCUGGGAAACCGGGGCUAAUACCGCAUAAGCCUGCGAAGGGAAAGCAGCAAUGCGCCGAGAGAGGAGUCCGCGGCCGAUUAGCUAGUUGGCGGGGUAACGGCCCACCAAGGCGAAGAUCGGUAGCCGGCCUGAGAGGGCACACGGCCACACUGGCACUGAAACACGGGCCAGACUCCUACGGGAGGCAGCAGUGGGGAAUCUUGCACAAUGGAGGAAACUCUGAUGCAGCGACGCCGCGUGAGCGAUGAAGCCCCUCGGGGUGUAAAGCUCUUUCGACGGGAAAGAUAAUGACGGUACCCGAAGAAGAAGCUGCGGCUAACUACGUGCCAGCAGCCGCGGUAAUACGUAGGCAGCAAGCGUUGUUCGGAAUUACUGGGCGUAAAGAGUGUGUAGGCGGUGCUCUAAGUCUGUUGUGAAAUCUCCCGGCUUAACUGGGAGGGUGCGGCGGAGACUGGAGUGCUAGAGUGUGGGAGAGGUAAGCGGAAUUCCUGGUGUAGCGGUGAAAUGCGUAGAUAUCAGGAGGAACACCUGUGGUGUAGACAGCUUACUGGACCACGACUGACGCUGAGACACGAAAGCGUGGGUAGCAAACAGGAUUAGAUACCCUAGUAGUCC
rnacentral:rRNA from 1 species